rnacentral:rRNA from 1 species
CACUUUUGCUAUACAGGGCUGGAAGCACCUGACCUCGUCUAAACUUGGAAGUUAAGCAGACCAGGGUCUGUAGGUAGCUGGAUGGGGGAAAAAAAAUCAUGAAAAUAGGCAAAAGUCC